UCUGGUUGAUCCUGCCAGUAGUCAUAUGCUUGUCUCAAAGAUUAAGCCAUGCAUGUCUAAGUAUAAGCAAUUUAUACAGUGAAACUGCGAAUGGCUCAUUAAAUCAGUUAUCGUUUAUUUGAUAGUUCCUUUACUACAUGGUAUAACUGUGGUAAUUCUAGAGCUAAUACGUGCUUAAAAUCUCGACCCUUUGGAAGAGAUGUAUUUAUUAGAUAAAAAAUCAAUGUCUUCGGACUCUUUGAUGAUUCAUAAUAACUUUUCGAAUCGCAUGGCCUUGUGCUGGCGAUGGUUCAUUCAAAUUUCUGCCCUAUCAACUUUCGAUGGUAGGAUAGUGGCCUACCAUGGUUUCAACGGGUAACGGGGAAUAAGGGUUCGAUUCCGGAGAGGGAGCCUGAGAAACGGCUACCACAUCCAAGGAAGGCCGCAGGCGCGCAAAUUACCCAAUCCUAAUUCAGGGAGGUAGUGACAAUAAAUAACGAUACAGGGCCCAUUCGGGUCUUGUAAUUGGAAUGAGUACAAUGUAAAUACCUUAACGAGGAACAAUUGGAGGGCAAGUCUGGUA
rnacentral:rRNA from 1 species